AUUGAACGCUGGCGGCAUGCCUACACAUGCAAGUCGAACGGCAGCAUAGGAGCUUGCUCCUGAUGGCGAGUGGCGAACGGGUGAGUAAUAUAUCGGACCGUGCCCUAGAGUGGGGGAUAACUAGUCGAAAGACUAGCUAAUACCGCAUACGAUCUACGGAUGAAAGUGGGGGAUCGCAAGACCUCAUGCUCCUGGAGCGGCCGAUAUCUGAUUAGCUAGUUGGUGGGGUAAAAGCUCACCAAGGCGACGAUCAGUAGCUGGUCUGAGAGGACGACCAGCCACACUGGGACUGAGACACGGCCCAGACUCCUACGGGAGGCAGCAGUGGGGAAUUUUGGACAAUGGGGGCAACCCUGAUCCAGCAAUGCCGCGUGAGUGAAGAAGGCCUUCGGGUUGUAAAGCUCUUUUGUCAGGGAAGAAACGGUUCUGGAUAAUACCUGGAGCUAAUGACGGUACCUGAAGAAUAAGCACCGGCUAACUACGUGCCAGCCGCCGCCGUAA
rnacentral:rRNA from 1 species